rnacentral:rRNA from 1 species
UACGUAGGGUGCAAGCGUUAAUCGGAAUUACUGGGCGUAAAGCGUGCGCAGGCGGUUCGUUGUGUCGGCGGUGAAAGCCCGGGCUCAACCUGGGAAUGGCCGUUGAAACUGGCGAACUGGAGUGUGGCAGAGGGGGUGGAAUUCCGCGUGGUAGCGGGUGAAAUGCGUAGAUAUCAGGAGGAACACCGGUGGUGUAGACGGCUCUCUGGACCGUAACUGACGCUGAGGCACGAAAGCGUGGGUAGCAAACAGG